GACGAACGCUGGCGGCGUGCUUAACACAUGCAAGUCGAACGGAAAGGCCCUGCUUUUGUGGGGUGCUCGAGUGGCGAACGGGUGAGUAACACGUGAGUAACCUGCCCUUGACUUUGGGAUAACUUCAGGAAACUGGGGCUAAUACCGGAUAGGAGCUCCUGCUGCAUGGUGGGGGUUAGAAAGUUUCGGCGGUUGGGGAUGGACUCGCGGCUUAUCAGCUUGUUGGUGGGGUAGUGGCUUACCAAGGCUUUGACGGGUAGCCGGCCUGAGAGGGUGACCGGCCACAUUGGGACUGAGAUACGGCCCAGACUCCUACGGGAGGCAGCAGUGGGGAAUAUUGCACAAUGGGCGGAAGCCUGAUGCAGCAACGCCGCGUGCGGGAUGACGGCCUUCGGGUUGUAAACCGCUUUCGCCUGUGACGAGGCGUGAGUGACGGUAAUGGGUAAAGAAGCACCGGCUAACUACGUG
rnacentral:rRNA from 1 species